rnacentral:rRNA from 1 species
AUCACCUUAGUGAAGUAGGACCACCC